ensembl:lncRNA
UAAGGAGCAGGUAGGGGUUAGACAGUACAGAGACAGGCCAUUAAGGAGCAGGUAGGGGUUAGACAGUACAGAGACAGGUCAUUAAGGAGCAGGUAGGGGUUAGACAGUACAGAGACAGGCCAUUAAGGAGCAGGUAGGGGUUAGACAGUACAGAGACAGGUCAUUAAGGAGCAGGUAGGGGUUAGACAGUACAGAGACAGGCCAUUAAGGAGCAGGUAGGGGUUAGACAGUACAGAGACAGGUCAUUAAGGGGCAGGUAGGGGUUAGACAGUACAGAGACAGGUCAUUAAGGAGCAGGUAGGGGUUAGACAGUACAGAGACAGGUCAUUA